rnacentral:tRNA from 1 species
UCCUUGGUGGCCUAAUGGUUAAGGAUUUGGCAUUGUCACUGCUGUGGCUCAGGUCACUGCAAUGGCCAGGUUCAAUCCCUGGCCUGGGAA